GGCAAAAUACAUAAAGACAUAAUUAAAGUUGAUCCCAUAUAUCUAUCUCACAUCCUAACUUACAAGGGGCCAUAUAAACACUUCAACUUAGCACAAGUAUGUCUUGUGGACACGCUGAGAUGACAUGGCAAAAUAUUUGAUUUUCACACAACUUUGGCCGCCUGAAAGCUCUUAAAAUUAUAUUUUUGUUUUAUUUUUUUCAUGUGGGGCCCACUUUCUUCAUCCUUAAUCAAGCAAUAACGAGCACCACCCUUCUGCCACCGUAGCCGCCGCCACCUUGGCAGCCGACCUUCCUAUCUCCAUCAUUUUCAGAUCCAAUUUUCAUCGGUCAAAAGAUGUAGCCAAAGAACAUUCUCUUCGCCAUCUUUCAUCGCCACCAUCCUCCAUAUUUUCUCCAUGAGCCCACUCGAAAACCACUAAAAAUGUCGUGAACCUCCACCAUCUUCUCCGACUUAUCACCAAAAAUUUCAGUUUCUUCCUCCAUUAACCCCACUUCUCCAAGCACCAAUAGCGUCAUGUAUUACCGCCAAAACGCUUUUACUCCACCAUAACACAAAAUACCAUAUCAGCUCCAAAGUUAUCCUCCAGUUCAGUCAUCAAAACCACGAUUUUUUUCAAAAAAUUCAAAGCACCACCACGGUUGUUUUAUCUAAUUUGCAGAGAAACAUUUGAGAUUCAGGUGUUCAUGAGACACAUUUGUGUCAACUUGAAGCGUCUAUAUGAUCACCUGGUAGUCUCGCCUGAGUGUUCGAAUUUUGGCUUAAGCUCUCAAUUUUGUGGAUAAUGUCUCUCACACCAAGAGUCGAUUCAUAUCGAUGUGGUCAUGAAUGUCAAUUAAAAAUUCAUGGUCUCCAUCUAAUCCUGGAAGGAGGUUAUAUGGAUGUAAAAUUGAAAAAGACAAAGGUGGAUGUAAGUAUUUUAGGUGGGUUGAUGAUGAGUUUCCUAGCCAAGCGAAUAGGGUUAUUUGGGAUUUAUCGAACAGAGUCAAAACUUUUGAAGAAGAAAGGGCUCGAGCAAGAAUAUGGAGGAGGAAAUUGGCUUCUAUUAUAGUAAUAAUGCUAAUUAUCUGGGUUUGCUACUGUGCCGUCGAUCGUUGAAGUUGUUGUGGUUUUGCUGGUGGUUGGAGCAGAAGCUUUUUUUGGUCAUUAUGUCAUCUAUGUCUUAGCUGCUGUAUUUUGUGUUUGUAGUGGUGGUUGAUAUAUUUUGGGUGUGUCUUAACUAGUAGUUUGCUUGAAUGUAAUUGUGGCUUGUGGCCUUAUUUCAAUGAAAUGAAGAAAUUUUCUGCCAUUCUUUUUA